rnacentral:rRNA from 1 species
AUUCCAGCUCCAAUAGCGUAUAUUAAAGUUGUUGCCGUUAAAAAGCUCGUAGUCGAACUUCGGGUCCUGUCCGCCGGUCCGCCUUCUUGGUGUGUACUUGUUGGAUGGGACCUUACCUCCUGGUGAACGGCGAUGUCCUUUACUGGGUGUCGUCGCAAACCAGGACGUUUACUUUGAAAAAAUUAGAGUGUUCAAAGCAGGCCUUUGCCCGAAUACAUUAGCAUGGAAUAAUAGAAUAGGACGCGCGUUCCCAUUUUGUUGGUUUCUGAGAUCGCCGUAAUGAUUAAUAGGGAUAGUUGGGGGCAUUUGUAUUCCGACGUCAGAGGUGAAAUUCUUGGAUUGCCGGAAGACAAACUACUGCGAAAGCAUUUGCCAAGGAUGUUUUCAUCA